rnacentral:rRNA from 1 species
AAUGAACGCUGGCGGCAGGCCUAACACAUGCAAGUCGAGCGAGGACUUCGGUCCUAGCGGCGGACGGGUGAGUAACGCGUGGGAACGUACCCUUUGCUACGGAAUAGCCCCGGGAAACUGGGAGUAAUACCGUAUGUGCUCUUCCAUUGUAGUGAUGGGGGAGGAAAGAUUUAUCGGCAAAGGAUCGGCCCGCGUUGGAUUAGGUAGUUGGUGGGGUAAUGGCCUACCAAGCCGACGAUCCAUAGCUGGUUUGAGAGGAUGAUCAGCCACACUGGGACUGAGACACGGCCCAGACUCCUACGGGAGGCAGCAGUGGGGAAUCUUAGACAAUGGGCGCAAGCCUGAUCUAGCCAUGCCGCGUGAUCGAUGAAGGCCUUAGGGUUGUAAAGAUCUUUCAGAUGGGAAGAUAAUGACUGUACCAUCAGAAGAAGCCCCGGCUAACUCCGUG